UGCCCCGUGUUACAAUCGAACUCACGACCUUCAGAUUAUGAGACUGACGCGCUACCUACUGCGCUUAAUGAGGC
rnacentral:tRNA from 1 species